rnacentral:rRNA from 1 species
GAUGAACGCUAGCUACAGGCUUAACACAUGCAAGUCGCGGGGCAGCAUGAAUUAGCUUGCUAAAUUUGAUGGCGACCGGCGCACGGGUGAGUAACGCGUAUCCAACCUUCCCCUGUCCACGGGAUAGCCCGUCGAAAGGCGGAUUAAUACCGUAUGAGGUCACAAGCGGACAUCCAACUGUGACGAAAGGUUUUGCGGACAAGGAUGGGGAUGCGUCCGAUUAGCUUGACGGCGGGUAACGGCCCACCGUGGCUACGAUCGGUAGGGGUUCUGAGAGGAAGGUCCCCCACAUUGGAACUGAGACACGGUCCAAACUCCUACGGGAGGCAGCAGUGAGGAAUAUUGGUCAAUGGGCGAGAGCCUGAACCAGCCAAGUAGCGUGCAGGAAGACGGCCCUAUGGGUUGUAAACUGCUUUCAGUCGGGAAUAAUUCGUCGGUCGUGACCGACGUUGCAGGUACCGUCAUAAGAAGGACCGGCUAAUUCCGUG